UGAUGACGAGACGCUAAGGCGUUGAGGCAGUGUAUGUCAGACUUCCAAGAAAAGCUCGCAAUGUCAUAAAUAAAAAUGCCUGUACCAUAACCGACACAGGUGGGUAGGUAGAGUAUACUAAGGGGCGCGAGAUAACUCUCUCUAAGGAACUCGGCAAAAUGACUCCGUAACUUCGGGAGAAGGAGUGCCUUAUUUAUAAGGUUGCGAUAACAAGAUCCAAGCAACUGUUUAUCAAAAACACAGGUCUCCGCUAAGUCGUAAGACGAUGUAUGGGGGCUGACGCCUGCCCAGUGCCAGAAGGUUAAAGAAGUUGGUUAGUGUAUGCGAAGCUGAUGACUGAAGCCCUGGUGAACGGCGGCCGUAACGAUAACGGUCCUAAGGUAGCGAAAUUCCUUGUCGGGUAAGUUCCGACCCGCACGAAAGGCGUAAUGAUUUGGAUACUGUCUCGGAGAGAGGCUCGGUGAAAUAGACUUGUCUGUGAAGAUGCGGACUACCUGCACCAGGACAGAAAGACCCUAUGAAGCUUUACUGUAACUUGAAAUUGGAAUUGGACUUUGCUUGCGCAGUAUAGGUGGGAAGCGUUGAAGAUAUUCUUGCGGGAGCAUUGGAGCUAUCAGUGAGAUACCACUCUUGUAAUGUUAGAUUUCUAACUUUGAACCAUAAUCUGGUCAAAGAACAGUUUCAGGUGGGCAGUUUGACUGGGGCGGUCGCCUCCCAAAUGGUAACGGAGGCGUACAAAGGUUUCCUCUGAACGGAUAGAAAUCGUAUCUAGAGUGUAAAGGCAUAAGGAAGCUUGACUGUGAGACCUACAAGUCGAGCAGGGACGAAAGUCGGUCUUAGUGAUCUGACGGUACUGAGUGGAAAGGCCGUCACUCAACGGAUAAAAGUUACUCUAAGGAUAACAGGCUGAUCUCCCCCAAGAGUUCACAUCGACGGGGAGGUUUGGCACCUCGAUGUCGGCUCAUCGCAUCCUGGGGCGGUAGUACGUCCCAAGGGUUGGGCUGUUCGCCCAUGAAAGCGGUACGCGAGCUGGGUUCAGAACGUCGUGAGACAGUUCGGUCCAUAUCCGGUGUAGGCGCUAGAAUAUUGAGAGGAGCCUUCUUUAGUACGAGAGGACCGAGAAGGACACACCGCUGGUGUACCAGUUAUCGUGCCAACGGUAAACGCUGGGUAGCUAUGUGUGGAGUGGAUAACCGCUGAAAGCAUCUAAGUGGGAAGCCCACCUCAAGAUGAGUAUUCC
rnacentral:rRNA from 1 species